rnacentral:rRNA from 1 species
UACGUAGGUGGCAAGCGUUGUCCGGAAUUAUUGGGCGUAAAGCGCGCGCAGGCGGUUCCUUAAGUCUGAUGUGAAAGCCCACGGCUCAACCGUGGAGGGUCAUUGGAAACUGGGGAACUUGAAGGCAGGAGAGGGCAGCAGAAUUCCCGGUGUAGUGGUGAAAUGCGUAGAUAUCGGGAGGAAUACCAGUGGCGAAGGCGGCUGCCUGGCCUGUUCUUGACGCUGAGGCGCGAAAGCUGGGGGAGCAAACGGGAUUAGAUACCCUUGUAGU